UACGUAGGGGGCUAGCGUUGUCCGGAAUCAUUGGGCGUAAAGGGUGCGUAGGCGGGUCUUUAAGUCAGGGGUGAAAUCCUGGAGCUCAACUCCAGAACUGCCUUUAAUACUGAAGAUCUUGAGUUCGGGAGAGGUGAGUGGAACUGCGAGUGUAGAGGUGAAAUUCGUAGAUAUUCGCAAGAACACCAGUGGCGAAGGCGGCUCACUGGCCCGAUACUGACGCUGAGGCACGAAAGCGUGGGGAGCAAACAGG
rnacentral:rRNA from 1 species